rnacentral:lncRNA from 1 species
CUUAACUAUUGAUUUGGAUGCAGUUAAGAGAUAAAACCUCACAGAUUUACCGACGUUUAAGGUUGUGAAAUCUGGAUGGGGACAAAAGGAAGAGUAUCAUCAGGAGUUGAAGACUUUAAACAUUUGUGCCAAUCCACAUAACUUCCUGGGCCACCAAGAAUGUAUACCAGAACAUUAAAUAUUUCUUGAAAAUCAUAUAAUUCACUUUUCU